rnacentral:rRNA from 1 species
AGUGAACGCUGGCGGUAUGCCUAACACAUGCAAGUCGAACGGCAGCACAGUAAGCGCUUGCUCUUACGGGUGGCGGGGGGCGGACGGGUGAGGAAUACAUCGGAAUCUACUUUUUCGUGGGUGAUAACGUAGGGAAACUGACACUAAUACCGCAUACUACCUACGGGUGAGAGCAGAGGAUCUUCGGACCUUGCGCGAUUGAAUGAGCCGAUGUCGGAUUAGCUAGUUGGCGGGGUAAGGGCCCACCAAGGCGACGAUCCGUAGCUGGUCUGAGAGGAUGAUCAGCCACACUGGAACUGAGACACGGUCCAGACUACUACGGGAGGCAGCAGUGGGGAAUAUUGGACAAUGGGCGAAAGCCUGAUCCAGCAAUACCGCGUGGGUGAAGAAGGCCUUCGGGUUGUAAAGCCCUUUUGUUGGGAAAGAAAAGAAGCAGGUUAAUACCCCGCUGUUCUGACGGUACCCAAAGAAUAAGCACCGGCUAACUUCGUG